CGGAGGAGGGCGCUCGUUGGGAUGAACACUGGGUGUUGUAUGUCGGUGAUGAAUUACGGGAAUCUAUUCCUGAAACCGAGACUACACUGUAUACGCUGUGUUAGCUAACGUGACAAUAAAUUAUUAAAAAAAAAAUGACAGCUGGAG